UACGUAGGGGGCUAGCGUUGUCCGGAUUUAUUGGGCGUAAAGAGCUCGUAGGUGGUUCGGUAAGUCGGAUGUGAAAUCUCCAGGCUCAACCUGGAGGGGUCAUUCGAUACUGCCGUGACUAGAGUUCGGUAGAGGAGUGUGGAAUUCCAGGUGUAGCGGUGAAAUGCGUAGAUAUCUGGAGGAACACCGGUGGCGAAGGCGGCAUCCUGGACCGGUAUUGACGCUGAGGCGCGAAAGCCAGGGGAGCAAACGGG
rnacentral:rRNA from 1 species